rnacentral:rRNA from 1 species
CCUACGGGAGGCAGCAGUGAGGAAUAUUGGUCAAUGGGCGAGAGCCUGAACCAGCCAAGUCGCGUGAGGGAAGACGGUCCUAUGGAUUGUAAACCUCUUUUGCCGGGGAGCAAAAAGCGGUACGUGUACCGCAUCGAGAGUACCCGGAGAAAAAGCAUCGGCUAACUCCGUGCCAGCAGCCGCGGUAAUACGGAGGAUGCGAGCGUUAUCCGGAUUUAUUGGGGUUAAAGGGUGCGCAGGCGGCCGGUUAAGUCAGCGGUAAAAUUUUGGGGCCCAACCCAAACAAGCCGGUGAAACUGGGCUUCUUAGGUGGGCGGGAAGGAAGGGGAAUGCGUGGUG